UGGCCAUUGUCUUCACAUUUUAAAGCAAUGUGUAACCUUGAGUGUCAUUGCUAAUCUGCGCUUGUUGCUUAAAACUAACUCCACGCCGUCUGUGACCGAAACAGGACAGGAAACACGGGCCCACAGACUUAUGACGAAACGCUAUGUUGCAAAAAAAUUUAUUAACUGGAUACAAAGUUUUAGAAACAAAAGUUACAACAUUACAAAAAUAUUCAGAAAUUGUUCAUGAAACAGUAAACGAUACAAUCACUAUCAAAUUAUUGUUUUUAAACUUUAUUAACACAUUUUCUUAGACCUCCUGCUGUUCUUAUGGACAUUUUGCUUGUAUUGCUUUUUUGUUCUUUUCAAAACAUGAUUUAUGUCAGUGUAAACAUUAAUUAACAUGCUGCUUCCACAUAAUACAUAAACUGAGAGGUUCAAGGAUUAGAUUUAGGCUGCAAGAGUAUUUGGAGGUUUUCGCAGUGCUCACUGCCAGUUUGCAACUUGUUUGCAUUUCCACACAAAUACACCUCUUGUACACACUUGCUCUUCUCUCCCUCUCACACACAUUCAAGCACGUUGUUGAAUUUCAUUCUGUUAGUAAGUGACGCAUCCCCUCGAUGCUGGGGCGCUUCAACAAUUCUGAGCAGAGAGUUAUUGAUUCUAGUUAAUUUUUGUUAGGUUAUGUGUUCAUUAGUAGGUUAGUUUGUUAGUUUGUGGAGAGCUGUUCAACACUCUUCUUUUGGGUUAGUGAAUUGUUUUGAUGACUGUUGUUCAUAGUAGGUCUGUCCAGUGGUAUUGCUGGGCAUGCUUUGAUUUACUCAAAGUUUAGCAAAGAACAGCAAACAAAGACAUUAGUAAGAUGGACAUUUACAGGAUCAGGACUGUUAGUAUCAGCACCAAUCAGGAGUUAGCACUGAGGUGUGCUCAGUUUCUGUCUGACAUCACCGCCCGAGCUGACAACAAGCCAGGCACUCACCUGCAGGUUGACCGCACUGAGCACGUACAAAUGUAAAGGCUGACCUCUCUGAAUCUGAUCACAAUCGUUUUUGCGAUGAUUGCUCGUAAGUGUGUGGUCAACCCAGUUUGAUGUCAGCAGCUGUUCCCGCUUGUCUUUUCACCUUGAGCUUAAUCGCUUUCUUUCCCUUUCCAAGUCCCGAAACCCUUCUUGACAUGCUCAGUGCAACAUUUUUCCCGACUUUAACGAUUUAUUUAAACUUCUAAAAGAAGGGAUGCAAAAUCAUGCAAAGGAAGUAUAUGCGCUGCAGACCGCGGGCAGAAAGCAGAGGGUUAGUAAUCCUCCAACUGUUAGCACAUAUAUUAGUACUGUUAGAGAUUAGUGAGAUACUGUUAGUACAACCCAGAUGUGGGUAAAAAUCUAUUUACGCAUAAUUAUUAGCAUUUGCUGAAAUUGGCUUCAGUGUGAAAUGAUAGGACUGCAGGCAUCGGGACAACUUAAUUAAUGCCAGCGGGCAUCGUUUAGAAAACUACAGACCAUUAAUUUCCAAUGGCAUCCUUGUGAUCUAAAUCAGCAUAAUAACUGCUACUUCAGUGAGGUUGUAACAAAUGCUAAGAACCAUUUGUAAAUGUUGUUUUAUCCCUUAUCUGGUACAUCCAGUGGCUAAAAGAAUAUAGGCCUGUUAUUGAGUGUGCAGCUGUGAAAACAAAAACCACAGUAAAGCAGCUUUUAGCUUCAGGCCCGUUACAAAUACAUUUCAUCUGACUGAUAAGAGACACAUGCAGACAUACGUACAGGGUACAUGCAAAGAAACACGUGCACUCACGUAGACACUCCCGUAACACACACACACACACACACAAGUGUGAUCAACUUUAGAGGUUUCCACACAAACAAAAACAUACUGUGUGAAUGGCACAUUGGGAACUUGUCAUUUUCACACAAUUUAGCAGCUUUUUUUUUUUUUUUUCAAAUAUCAGAGCUUUGCACAAAUCUGUCAGAGUAAACUCCAGCUAUGAAAAGACACAAAAUAGAGUCUUGGUGAAACACUGCUCGCUUUGACUGAAGUAUCUUAUAUAGGAAGAAACCAUCAGAGGGUUAGAAAGAGUAGAGGUCACCGCACGCAUCACUGUUUUUGAACAGCAAAAUAAAGUCAGAGAACGGGCCAGGACGCGCUUAUUACUUACAAAAGAAAAAAAAACUGUAUCAAAUUAUUCUGUACAACACCCAUGAAAUAUCUCCCUGCUAAAUCUGAGCACACUGAUGUUGACCACGAAGCAACAAGUGAACUACUGUUUUCACUGAUUUGCAAAAGCAGAAGUCAUCUCUCAGUAGGGAAACACUGGAACACGGACUCGCUCUUCUGAAGGUGCAGGGCAGGGAAAAUGGCACCAUGUGGUCAUCGCUGCAAGACAAGUCACAAUAAAGGGAAUUAGGAUGGUAUAGUGUAGUAUAAAAUAAUAUAGAUAUAGCGAAUGAUGGCAUGAUUACAAAGAUAUAGUUUUGUACUGGUUUGAAAAAUAUUGACAAAUAUUUCCUUUUCUACAAAAAUCUUGAAUAAAAUCACCCGAGGGGCAGAUUAUGCUAAUAUGAUUUGGUCACAUGAUCCAAUUUGUGGUUUAUCUCACCUCUUAACCAUAAUCAUGAGAAAAGUACCAUAUAGCAAGCAUAAUAAUAAUAAUAAUAAUAAUAAAUGUCAGUGAUUAAGCACAUAACUGAUCUCCC
ensembl:lncRNA